rnacentral:ncRNA from 1 species
UAUCCGGCGACGGUGCCUGGGAAGGAGGCCGCCUUGCUACGGCAGGGUACCGCGAACGCACGGGGCGAUGUACAAGAAUCGAGUUGAGGCGGUUUUGGUGGGACGAGCCUGCAACACAAGGCGAAGUCCUCUAUCCAUCUUAGGCCAAAGGCGUAUACUCGGCGUUCAUGUGCGGAAAGAUGCGUGU